rnacentral:miRNA from 1 species
AUCGUGAUCACGGGCAUCUGGCGCU